rnacentral:tRNA from 1 species
UGCGGGGUGGAGCGAUUGGUAGCUCAACGGGCUCAUAACCCGGAGGCCGCAGGUUCGAAUCCUGCCCCCGCGACAA